AGAGCGAACGCUGGCGGCAGGCUUAACACAUGCAAGUCGAACGGAUCCUUCGGGAUUAGUGGCGGACGGGUGAGUAACACGUGGGAACGUGCCUUUAGGUUCGGAACAACACAGGGAAACUUGUGCUAAUACCGGAUGUGCCCUUCGGGGGAAAGAUUUAUCGCCUUUAGAGCGGCCCGCGUCUGAUUAGCUUGUUGGUGAGGUAAAGGCUCACCAAGGCUACGAUCAGUAGCUGGUCUGAGAGGAUGGCCAGCCACAUUGGGACUGAGACACGGCCCAAACUCCUACGGGAGGCAGCAGUGGGGAAUCUUGCGCAAUGGGGAAACCCUGACGCAGCCAUGCCGCGUGGAUGAUGAGGUCUUAGGAUUGUAAAAUCCUUUCAGCGGGGACGAUAAUGACGGUACCCGCAGAAGAAGCCCCGGCUAACUUCGCGCCGAGCCAGCCGC
rnacentral:rRNA from 1 species